AUUGAACGCUGGCGGCAGGCUUAACACAUGCAAGUCGAACGGUAACAGGGAUUAGCUUGCUAAUCUGCUGACGAGUGGCGGACGGGUGAGUAAUGCUUGGGAAUCUGGCUUAUGGAGGGGGAUAACUACGGGAAACUGUAGCUAAUACCGCGUAAAAUCUUCGGAUUAAAGGGUGGGACUUUCGGGCCACCUGCCAUAAGAUGAGCCCAAGUGGGAUUAGGUAGUUGGUUAGGUAAAGGCUGACCAAGCCGACGAUCUCUAGCUGGUCUGAGAGGAUGACCAGCCACACUGGAACUGAGACACGGUCCAGACUCCUACGGGAGGCAGCAGUGGGGAAUAUUGCACAAUGGGGGGAACCCUGAUGCAGCCAUGCCGCGUGAAUGAAGAAGGCCUUCGGGUUGUAAAGUUCUUUCGGUGACGAGGAAGGUUGGUAGGUUAAUAGCCUAUCAAAUUGACGUUAAUCACGGAAGAAGCACCGGCUAACUCCGUGCCAGCAGCCGCGGUAAUACGGGGGGUGCAAGCGUUAAUCGGAAUAACUGGGCGUAAAGGGCACGCAGGCGGUGACUUAAGUGAGAUGUGAAAGCCCCGAGCUUAACUUGGGAAUUGCAUUUCAUACUGGGUCGCUAGAGUACUUUAGGGAGGGGUAGAAUUCCACGUGUAGCGGUGAAAUGCGUAGAGAUGUGGAGGAAUACCGAAGGCGAAGGCAGCCCCUUGGGAAUGUACUGACGCUCAUGUGCGAAAGCGUGGGGAGCAAACAGG
rnacentral:rRNA from 1 species